AUAUCAAUAAGCGGAGGAAAAGAAACUAACAAGGAUUCCCUUAGUAACUGCGAGUGAAGUGGGAAAAGCUCAAAUUUAAAAUCUGGCAGGUUUCCUGUCCGAGUUGUAGUUUCAAGAAGUGUUUUCGGUGCGCGCCUGGGCAUAAGUCCUUUGGAACAGGGCAUCAUAGAGGGUGAGAAUCCCGUUCAUGACCUAGAGUGGCGUACUGCGAGAUGCACUUUCUAAGAGUCAGGUUGUUUGGGAAUGCAGCCUUAAAUGGGUGGUAAAUUUCAUCUAAAGCUAAAUAUUGGCGAAGAGACCGAUAGCGCACAAGUA
rnacentral:rRNA from 1 species